CACGGUGGAAUGAAAGAGAAUUUUGAUCAGAUCAAGGAGGAUUCUAAGCGCAUAGAAGGAUUGCUUGAGAAGUUGGGAUUGCGACAAAACAAAUGAAAUAAGGAGAAAAAAUAAAUGAAAAAUUACCAUAUUUACCAACGGAGAAAAUACUUUUGAAAAGUAGGAGAAAACAGAGGCAGACAAGCAUUAAGGAAACCACAUCAAAG
rnacentral:lncRNA from 1 species